GAGCUUCACGAUAGUGGGGAGGACCAGGCCGCGGUGAAGGCAGGUCAUGCGCUCCUCACGCUCCACGAACGGAACCUGCGCACGGAGGCGGUAGCGCGGGGUGGCAGCCGGCAAUGAGGCGGCCGCGCUACGUGACGAGCUACGGGUCCCCCUUUGUGAUGUUUUGGCAUCGCUCCUUCAUCGCACAUCCUCAGGUACGUCAAUUCACUUCCUUCCCUUCCCUUCGUCCCUCGGUCCCACGCUCGUGGCGCUGAAGUGGUGGCAACAGGUGAUGGCGGUGGUGUCGCUGAUGGCGGCGAGGACAGCAUGUGGCAGCUCCCGAAGCAUGAACACGACCGCACCUCGGGCCUGCCGUCUGCCAAGAUAUGGCUCUGGCCGAUUGACAAUGGAGGUUUGGGAUCCUUCCUCUCAGCACCCACUCCUGGAAGAAUCAGCGGUGCGCCACGCCGAUUGAACCCCGUCGAGAUCAUUCGCCAAGAUUGCUAUUCUGAAGUUUAUUGUAAAGAAAGUGAAGAGUGAGACAGGAUCCGUUUAUUUUCAACCGGUUUAUUUUCAACCGGUUUAUUUCCAUCAAAUUACCCCCACCCCCACGCCCACCCACCGAAACGCGCCCAGCGAACCGGGGAGAGAUCCAUUGAUUUGGCUAAGGUAAGAAAGAAUCUAUUAUUUGUUUGCUAAAGCAAAUUGCAUUAAUGGGAGAGAUCCGUUGAUUUG